UACGAAGGGGGCUAGCGUUGCUCGGAAUUACUGGGCGUAAAGCGCACGUAGGCGGUCUUUUAAGUCGGGGGGUGAAAUCCUGGAGCUCAACUCCAGAACUGCCUUCGAUACUGGCGAUCUCGAGUCCGGAAGAGGUGAGUGGAACUCCUAGUGUAGAGGUGGAAUUCGUAGAUAUUAGGAAGAACACCAGUGGCGAAGGCGGCUCACUGGUCCGGUACUGACGCUGAGGUGCGAAAGCGUGGGGAGCAAACAGG
rnacentral:rRNA from 1 species